GGGUCGGUGGCGUAGUCGUAGUUGGUUAUCGCAUCUGUCUAACACACAGAAGGUCCUCAGUUCGAACCUGGGCCGACUCA
rnacentral:tRNA from 1 species